GGAUGGUGGCUUAGUGCUAGAGCAUUCGCCUGGCAUGUGUAGGGCACUGGGUUCGAUCCUCAGCACCA
rnacentral:tRNA from 1 species